GUAGGCAUAGUUUUAAAAUAAAAAUAUUAGAUUGUGAUUCUAAAGACAGGGGUUGAAACCCCCUUGCUCACC
rnacentral:tRNA from 1 species